rnacentral:rRNA from 1 species
UACGGAGGGUGCAAGCAUUAAUCGGAUUUAUUGGGCGUAAAGGGCGCGUAGGCGGCCUGCUAAGUCGGAUGUGAAAUCCCUCGGCUCAACCGAGGAACUGCAUCCGAUACUGGCGGGCUUGAAUCCGGGAGAGGGAUGUGGAAUUCCAGGUGUAGCGGUGAAAUGCGUAGAUAUCUGGAGGAACACCCGUGGCGAAGGCGGCUCUCUGGUACGUGACUGACGCUGAGACGCGAAAGCGUGGGGAGCAAACAGG